UGAAUUGUCAUCAUUCUAGUACCUUAGUAGUGGUGUGUUAUUAGUAGAACUAUCAUCCUGGUACGUGAUGUCUAUCGAGAAAACAAGCUACAUUUAAGAGUCCCUUCCUCGGUUUGCCUUGGCAUUAGUAAGUUGAUUGAGAAAUAGAGGUCUGCACACAGUUUUGCCGACUCGUUUCUUUCCUUUCUGCAUACUCCUAUAUACUCUGCAGUUCAUUUACUUCUUUAUCAAUGUUUUUAUCCAUAUAUAUGCCAUCACAGUCAAAA
rnacentral:lncRNA from 1 species